UCCUCCCAUAUUAUUACAAAAUUACCCCUUAAAAAUUACAAACUUAAUUUAAAUAUGGUGCACAUUUGUUAACACAUAUUUUGGUAUGGGGUAUUUUUUAGACAAGAAUGUAGGUUAUGCAUGGGACUAAAAAAAUAUUCUGCAUAAAAAUAUUUGUCCAAAAAUAUGAACCACAAAUUUAAAUUGAAUUUGUAAUUUUUAAGGGAAAAUUUGGUAAUAUUGUGGGAGGUUUUGGAUAUCGUGGAAAGACCGGAAUAGCACGAGUACACCCAGAACAGAUUCACAAGGUUAUCAGGGAUAACGCCAGUCAAAUCUGGUCAGCUAUGGACCCAGAAUUUUGCGGAUAAGGAAAAAUGCCGGGAACUUGGCUUAGCCGGCUAGCAGUCCUGACCUAAAUCCCAUGAAGAAUUUUUGGGCCAACUUCUUCGCGUCGGGUGGGCGUCAAUUUCGAACCAAAAAGGGAUUGGAGCAAAUGAUGCAUGGCGGAUGGGCAAAUAUCCUGCUGGAGACCCUUCAGCACUUCAAUAACUCAAUGAAGCGACGAAUAUUCGCGUUAAUUCUAGCUAAGAAAGGUUUUACCAAAUACUAGAAUAAGUUUCAAGGGUACUGGCUCCCUUAAAAUUAACUUAUAAAAUGUUUAAAUUUCAUAUCUCUUACUUUUGAGACAGUCGAUUUUGACUAAUUUUGUAAGAUUGCAUAUAAAUUUCUUGAUUUAAGUCAAAUCUCAAUGAAACUUGGCAUGAACUUGUAGCAAUACCUGAGCUAUAUUAUAAUAAAACUUUGGGCCCCAGGACCAAGCUAUUAAGAAAUAGUAGAAUUUUCCAAAACUA